rnacentral:rRNA from 1 species
GACGAACGCUGGCGGCGUGCUUAACACAUGCAAGUCGAACGGUGAAGCCUUUCGGGGUGGAUCAGUGGCGAACGGGUGAGUAACACGUGGGCAACCUGCCCUGCAUUCUGGGACAAGCCUUGGAAACGGGGUCUAAUACCGGAUACGACGCAUCUCCGCAUGGGGUGUGCGUGGAAAGCUCCGGCGAUGCAGGAUGGGCCCGCGGCCUAUCAGCUUUGUUGGUGGGGUGANGGCCUACCAAGGCGACGACGGGUAGCCGGCCUGAGAGGGCGACCGGCCACACUGGGACUGAGACACGGCCCAGACU